AUGGCAGCUGCCGGUGAUCGGCAGCAUGCACCACCUCGUGGGCGCGCUCCCGCACCGCGCCAUGCGCAACCUCGCCCUCCGGCACGGCCCGCUCAUGCUGCUCCGCAUGGGCGAGCUCCCCGUCGUUGUGGCCUCGUCGGCGGCCGCGGCGAUGGAGAUCAUGAAGACCCACGACGUCGCCUUCGCCACGCGGCCGAGGACGAACACCACUGUUUCGCUCACUGGAGACGGCCUCGGCAUCGCCCUCGCGCCGCACGGCGACCACUGGCGCCGUGUCCGCAAGCUCUGCGCCACGGAGCUUCUCGGCGCGCCGCGGGUUCGGUCGUUCCGAGGGACGCGUGA
rnacentral:rRNA from 1 species